UACGUAGGGUGCAAGCGUUGUCCGGAAUUAUUGGGCGUAAAGAGCUCGUAGGCGGUUUGUCGCGUCUGCUGUGAAAACCGGAGGCUCAACCUCCGGCCUGCAGUGGGUACGGGCAAACUAGAGUGCGGUAGGGGAGAUUGGAAUUCCUGGUGUAGCGGUGGAAUGCGCAGAUAUCAGGAGGAACACCGGUGGCGAAGGCGGGUCUCUGGGCCGAUACUGACGCUGAGGAGCGAAAGCGUGGGGAGCGAACAGG
rnacentral:rRNA from 1 species